GACGAACGCUGGCGGCGUGCCUAACACAUGCAAGUCAAGGAGAUGGCACCUUUCGGGGUGCUUGAUACUGGCGAACGGGUGAGUAACGCGUAGAUAAUCUGCCCUAAUCCCUGGCAUAACGUCGAGAAAUCGGCGCUAACAUCAGAUGAGGUGUUUACAUCAAAGGGUAACCGGAUUAGGAUGAGUCUGCGUCUGAUUAGCUUGUUGGUAAGGUAAUGGCUUACCAAGGCGACGAUCAGUAGCUGGUCUGAGAGGAUGGUCAGCCACACUGGAACUGAGACACGGUCCAGACUCCUACGGGUGGCAG
rnacentral:rRNA from 1 species